UUCAUAAUAACUUAACGAAUCGCAUGGCCUUGCGCCGGCGAUGGUUCAUUCAAAUUUCUGCCCUAUCAACUUUCGAUGGUAGGAUAGUGGCCUACCAUGGUCUCAACGGGUAACGGGGAAUUAGGGUUCUAUUCCGGAGAGGGAGCCUGAGAAACGGCUACCACAUCCAAGGAAGGCAGCAGGCGCGCAAAUUACCCAAUCCCAAUUCGGGGAGGUAGUGACAAUAAAUACUGAUACAGGGCUCUUUCGGGUCUUGUAAUUGGAAUGAGUACAAUCUAAAUCCCUUAACGAGGAACAAUUGGAGGGCAAGUCUGGUGCCAGCAGCCGCGGUAAUUCCAGCUCCAAUAGCGUAUAUUAAAGUUGUUGCCGUUAAAAAGCUCGUAGUUGAACCUUGGGUCUGGCUGAUCUGUCCUCCUAAUCGAGCGCACGGAUUCGGUCGGACCUUUCCUUCUGGGGAGCCGCAUGCCCUUCACUGGGCGUGUCGGGGAACCAGGACUUUUACCUUGAAAAAAUUAGAGUGUUCAAAGCAGGCCUUUGCUCGAAUACAUUAGCAUGGAAUAAUAGAAUAGGACAGAGGUUCUAUUUUGUUGGUUUCUAGGACCGCUGUAAUGAUUAAUAGGGAUAGUCGGGGGCGUCCGUAUUCAAUUGUCAGAGGUGAAAUUCUUGGAUUUAUUGAAGACGAACUACUGCGAAAGCAUUCGCCAAGGAUGUUUUCAUUAAUCAGUGAACGAAAGUUAGGGGAUCGAAGACGAUCAGAUACCGUCGUAGUCUUAACCAUAAACUAUGCCGACUAGGGAUCGGACGGUGGUUUUUUUAUGCCCCGUUCGGCACCUUACGA
rnacentral:rRNA from 1 species